UACAGAGGAGCCAAGCGUUGUCCGGAUUGACUGGGCGUAAAGCGCACGCAGGCGGCGGCGCGCGUGGGGUGUGAAAUCUGGCCGCUUAACGGCCAGGCGCCAUCCCAUACGGUGCAGCUGGAGUGAUGCAGAGGUCGAUGGAAUUGCCGGUGUAGUGGUGAAAUGCGUAGAGAUCGGCAGGAACACCCAGGGGGAAACCAGUCGACUGGGCAUCUACUGACGCUGAGGUGCGAGAGCGUGGGGAGCGAACCGG
rnacentral:rRNA from 1 species